GGGGACGUAGCUCAACGGUAGAGCACAAAGCAUCCAACUUUGACAGCCUUGUCCAGGCUCUGGAACUCGGGCCCGCGGCUUGACCGACUGGCCCACCCUCUCGAGCGUACACGCGUAGAUGCAGGUUCGACUCCUGCCGUCCCCU
rnacentral:tRNA from 1 species